rnacentral:rRNA from 1 species
CUUCCGGUUGAUCCCGCCGACCCCGACUGCUAUCAGAGUGGGACUAAGCCAUGCGAGUCAACAUAGCAAUAUGUGGCAUACGGCUCAGUAACACGUAGUCAACAUGCCCAGGGGACGUGGAUAACCUCGGGAAACUGAGGAUAAACCGCGAUAGGUCAUCACUUCUGGAAUGGGUAAUGACUUAAAUCUAUAUGGCCCCUGGAUUGGACUGCGGCCGAUCAGGCUGUUGGUGAGGUAAUGGCCCACCAAACCUGUAACCGGUACGGGCUCUGAGAGGAGGAGCCCGGAGAUGGGCGCUGAGACAAGGGCCCAGGCCCUAUGGGGCGCAGCAGGCGCGAAACCUCUGCAAUAGGCGAAAGCUUGACAGGGUUACUCUGAGUGAUUUCCGUUAAGGAGAUCUUUUGGCACCUCUAAAAAUGGUGCAGAAUAAGGGGUGGGCAAGUCUGGUGUCAGCCGCCGCGGUAAUACCAGCACCCCGAGUGGUCGGGACGUUUAUUGGGCCUAAAGCAUCCGUAGCCGGUUCUACAAGUCUUCCGUUAAAUCCACCUGCUUAACAGAUGGGCUGCGGAAGAUACUAUAGAGCUAGGAGGCGGGAGAGGCAAGCGGUACUCGAUGGGUAGGGGUAAAAUCCGUUGAUCCAUUGAAGACCACCAGUGGCGAAGGCGGCUUGCCAGAACGCGCUCGACGGUGAGGGAUGAAAGCUGGGGGAGCAAACCGGAUUAGAUACCCGGGUAGUCCCAGCUGUAAACGAUGCAGACUCGGUGAUGAGUUGGCUUAUUGCUAACUCAGUGCCGCAGGGAAGCCGUUAAGUUUGCCGCCUGGGGAGUACGGUCGCAAGACUGAAACUUAAAGGAAUUGGCGGGGGAGCA